GUCUCAUGUUAACAGGAUCACUAUUAUGACUCAAGUUCUCAUUACAUUUGUAGUCUCGUCUCUGUGGCUUCAAGGUCAGUGCCAGGAUGUGAGCCAACACCCUGAAAUCAGUUGGAGUUAUGUUUCCCAAUCUGCAGAGAUGAACUGCAGCCACAACAAAGAUAUUUCUCAUAA